CAGCCGCCGCGGUAACACGUAGGGUGCAAGCGUUAAUCGGAAUUACUGGGCGUAAAGCGUACGCAGGCGGUUAUAUAAGUCAGAUGUGAAAUCCCCGGGCUCAACCUGGGAACUGCAUUUGAGACUGUAUGGCUAGAGUGUGUCAGAGGGGGGUAGAAUUCCACGUGUAGCAGUGAAAUGCGUAGAGAUGUGGAGGAAUACCGAUGGCGAAGGCAGCCCCCUGGGAUAGCACUGACGUUCAUGCCCGAAAGCGUGGGUAGCAAACAGGAUUAGAUACCCCUGUAGUCCCUGUCUCUUAUAA
rnacentral:rRNA from 1 species